UUCAGUGGCACUGGCAGGCAUCUUUCUGUGUCUCCCAUCUCCUUUACCGCCUGACUUCCAUAAGAGAAAUAAAGAGGGAACAUUAAUUGAAUCUUCACCCACCUCCCUUCAUCUCCAUAUUAAAGUAAUUUUUCUUCUACUAAUUUCUACCUUCUUGUUAUUUUUAUUCUCCCAUAUUUUUUAGUUUUUUUUUAAUCUCUUUUAUCUUUUUAACAGAUACUGACAUAAUCUUUCUCUAUGUUCUGUUAAUUCUUGUUUACUAUUUCUGUAAUGGUUUUUCUACUUGUUUGAUAUACACAUUGUCUAUAUGUAUGUUUUGGUCUGUGGCUGUAUCUAUGUUUCUCAAAUUUCGUGUCAUUUUUCAUUCAAUACAGUCCACACAGCUAAACACCCUAAUCCCAUGUCUCAGAUUGCUUAGAUACUGUCAUUUUGAUUCAAAACUGGGUUUGAAUUCCUUAAACCAUACUUCAACUCUAGCACCAAUAAAACCCCAAAACAAUGUUGCAAUUUUCUGGGAUUUGGAUAACAAGCCGCCAAAUUCAUUCCCUCCAUAUGAGGCUGCCUUUAAGCUCAAAACGGCAGCAUCUUCAUUUGGGGUAGUUACUUACAUGGUGGCAUAUGCCAAUCGGCACGCUUUUAGUUAUGUGCCACAAGUUGUGAAAGAGCAAAGAAAAGAAAGAAGAUUGUUGAAUCAGUUAGAAAACAAAGGUGUGAUUAAACCAAUUGAACCAUAUCUAUGUGGAGUUUGUGGAAGAAAGUUUUAUAACAAUGAGAAAUUCAUGAAUCACUUUAAGCAAAUUCACGGCCGUGAGCAUCAGAAGAGGUUAAAUCAGAUAGAAUCAGCAAGAGGGAAGAGGAGAGUGAAGUUGGUGGCUAGGUAUGCGAUGAAGAUGCAGAAGUACAAGAAUGCAGUCAGGGGUGUUUUGACACCAAAGGUAGGGUAUGGUCUGGCAGAUGAGUUGAAAAGAGCAGGGUAUUGGGUUAGGACUGUGUCAGAUAAGCCACAGGCUGCAGAUGUGGCAUUGAGGGAUCACAUGGUGGAUGUGAUGGAUAAGAGGAGAGCUGAGUGUUUAGUGCUUGUAUCAGAUGAUUCAGAUUUUGUUGGUGUUCUGAAGGAGGCGAAAUUGAGAUGUAUGAAGACUGUUGUGGUUGGGGAUAUUAAUGAUGGAGCACUGAAGAGAGUUGCUGACGCAGGGUUUUCUUGGCAAGAGAUUUUGAGGGGGAAGGCUAAGAAGGAGGCAGUGUCAGUUGUGGGGCGGUGGAAGGACCAAGACACUUUGAAGAGACUAGAAUGGACAUACAAUCCAGAGGAGGAGAAAAGGUUGUGUAGCAAAGUUGCUGCAUUUGAUAAUUAUGAGAGUGACAGUAAUUAUGAUGAAGAUGAAGAUGAAAAUGAGGACGGAGAUUUUGAAGGUAUCAUUGAUGAAGGUGAGGCGGAUGGUAUGGAAAAGGAUGCUGCAGGUGCUUGGUGGGAGCUGAACUCUGAUCCUGAGGCUACUUCCUAAAUUUGGACAAAGGAUCAAUUAUUUGACAUGGUGAAAUUCACCAUUGUUUUUAUGAAGUUCUACAAGCAGAGCACCCGAAAGCAUAUAUUAUGAUGUGACAGAACUAUGUUAGAGCUACUAAUAUUUUUAUCUGGCUCUAAUGUUAUUUUUGGAUCUUAUUUCCUUAAUAAUACAGAUUAAAUUGAUUAUCCGUAGUCAUAUGACUAGAUAUAUACUCUAGAUUUUUG
rnacentral:misc_RNA from 1 species